AACGAACGCUGGCGGCGUGCUUAUCACAUGCAAGUCGCGUGCGCAGUUCGCGUAGCAAUACGUGGAUGGGCGCACGGCGCACGGGUGCGUAACACGUGGGCAAUCUGCCCUCCGAUGGGGAAUAACCCCGCGAAAGCGGGGCUAAUACCGCAUAACAUUCCGAGGACUUCGGUUCUUGGAUUCAAAGCAGUGAUGCGUCGGAGGAGGAGCCCGCGCCCGAUUAGCUAGUUGGUAGGGUAACGGCCUACCAAGGCAAUGAUCGGUAGCUGGUCUGAGAGGAUGAUCAGCCACACUGGAACUGAGACACGGUCCAGACUCCUACGGGAGGCAGCAGUGGGGAAUCUUGCGCAAUGGGCGAAAGCCUGACGCAGCGACGCCGCGUGGGGGAUGAAGCUUUUCGGAGUGUAAACCCCUUUCGACUGGGAAGAAUGCCCGCAAGGGAGCGACGGUACCAGUAGAAGAAGCCCCGG
rnacentral:rRNA from 1 species